rnacentral:rRNA from 1 species
UACAGAGGGUGCAAGCGUUGCUCGGAAUCAUUGGGCGUAAAGGGCAGGUAGGUGGUCUGAUUUGUCUGGAGGUGAAAGCCUUGGGCUUAACCCAAGAAGUGCCCCGGAAACGGUCAGACUUUGAGUCUUGGAGAGGGUUGCGGAAUUCCCGGUGUAGCGGUGAAAUGCGCAGAGAUCGGGAGGAACACCAACGGCGAAAGCAGGUACCUGGACUAUUACUGACACUCAGCUGCGAAAGCUAGGGGAGCAAACAGG